rnacentral:lncRNA from 1 species
UGCCAUCACCCAGAGUGUCAUCUUUGUCAACACCCGCCGCAAGGUGGACUGGCUCACUGACAAGAUGAGGAGCAGGGACCACACUGUUUCUGCCACUCACGGUGACAUGGAUCAGAACACUAGGGACAUCAUCAUGAGGGAGUUCAGGUCUGGUUCAUCCCGUGUGCUCAUCACCACCGACCUGCUUGCCCGUGGUAUCGAUGUUCAGCAGGUGUCCUUGGUCAUCAACUACGAUCUCCCCACCCAGCCUGAGAACUACCUGCAUCGCAUUGGUCGUAGUGGUCGUUUCGGUAGGAAGGGUGUUGCCAUCAACUUUGUGACCCGUGAUGAUGAGAGGAUGCUGUUUGACAUACAGAGGUUCUACAACGUGGUGAUUGAGGAGCUGCCUGCCAACGUCGCUGACCUUCUGUGAUCGAGUUGAAGAAAAAACAAAACAGAACAAAAAAAAAGUGGUAAGGGGACCUGAUAAGGCUUGUUUUUGUUGAAAUAUCGCCAUAUGUGGGGUGGAGUGACAAGGUCGGUGGGGUUUCUAUGUCAAGUCGUGGUCAUGGACAAUUUGUGAUUUUUCCUUAUGCCAUGUUUUGGGAAUUUUUGUAGCUGCCUAGGCCUGUGCUAUGUGCUACUGUGGGGGUUCAUUAGUAUGGAGGGGAGACGCUGCUGGUGCUGGAGUCUUUUCGUCUUUAGUAUUUUUGUUUAAAACUAUGUAUGACCGAAUGAUGGUAUUUAUUUGUGUCAUCCUUGACUCUUGUAUUCUGCUGCAACCGCAUGUAUCCUUCUAUCAGCACUGGUCUUUGUUAUUCUGUGCGAGUAAAACCUGUUUACUCAUCGCAUAUUGUGGUUGCCGGCGUUGAUGCCCAUGAUGGUGUAGAAGCUGCCAUUGGUGUUGCAGCUUUGUGUUCUGCUACUGCUCUAGGGGCUUGUUUAGUUUGACCCUGCUUGCAUGUUGUUUAGUUGGGGCCCUGUGCCAUCAGUGUUGCUGCCCUGGCCUGGAUGUAGUUUAGCACCAGUUGCCAAAACGAUUAUAAAAAUACUUAUUAAAAUAUAAAAUAUUGAAAUAUGCAUGGAGAAAUUGAUCUGUUUAAUUAUGUGCAGUAUAACGUCGUUAGCGUUCUACUUAAAAGUUGUAGUUCUUGGUCAGGCAAAGCCUCCAUGUCUCCAACCUAACAUGCCUUAUGGGUGGAGACGACGUGCUGCUAAUGUGUUUAUCAUUGGUCAGCUGGCUGAGCUCGCUCGAUGGCAAAAGGCUUUGGUCAACCUGAUGGCACGGCGUACGGUCAGGAUCAAUGCUUAGGAGGAGGUUGUGCUGCAAGUACGCACGUAUGCAAACACUCGGCAAGGUGUUUACUUCGGCGACCCUGCCAAUGCGGAGAAAUUAAUGCAUGACUUCCCCUUCUUCCUCCCUCUAUUUUCAUUCUUCUUUUUUCCUCGUGGUCACUCACUUUUCUUUCGUCUUGUUUUGGUCAAAUCCGUGUCCUGCCAUUUUUUUAGUUGGUUUAUGAGGCUGAAAACCCGAACUAAAAUUGCACUCUUUAUAGGUAAAACUGGCCCCCUAUCCUUUGUGUGUGGAAUUAAAAUUUGACUUCUUUGAUACAGUAAUCGCCACGUGAACAGGGGUAUGUUGGCAAUGUUGGCCCGCGAAGCAUCAUUGUAGUAGAGGAGGAGGAAGGCCUGGCCCAAUCAAAAGCUCUGUCUGCUAUGCUCUCCGGGCCGCCGUACGUUGAUACAUGGGCCGAGCCAAGUGAAGGGCCAUCAUCGUCGUCUUCUCCUCGGUCGAAGAAGAGACAGAGAACCGCGACUUCUACGUUUUCUCACUCGCGGAUUCAUCUCCUUCUGAAUUUCCGAGAGACCAGGUAUGUGCCCGUUGCUACGGGUAUAAAAAAUUGAUAUUACUUUGAUACAAGAUACACACCGACCAACUAAACAUUAGACAAAAACAUCCAUUCUACUAUUAUAUAAACAAAAACAGUAAACAAAUAUAUCUUGCCCCCUUACCUUAGAAUCAGGUUUGCAUCUCAACCAUAAAUAACAAAAAUAAUAAAAAAAUAUACCUUGCCCCCUCUACCUUAGAAUCAGGUUUGCAUCUCAACUGCAGAUCUAUCAUUCGCUAAUGAGGGAGUUAAAACAGAGGAAAGUUCCCUCCUUAGUUUUUAAACUCAUGGUCACUGGGCAGCUUAAACUUAGAAAACCGGAAUGCUUGUGUGAUUUCCUUGCGUUAGUGAAAUGGCAGGCGAACUGGUAUUUAGGAAAAUACAUGUCAUGUAAAACCUGUCCUCAAGCACUAUACACAACAUCUGUACCCGUGCACUCUCAAGAAGCUCUAGUAUCUAGACUCUGACAACUACCACUUAUAUCCAAUCCACUUAUAUCCAAUCCAAGCCCUCAAUUACCAUGAUACUAUGUUGUAUUGCUACAGAAUAUAGCAAUUUUAGAUGGGUAGUUCUUCAGAGGUUCAUCACAUACGGUUCCUGUCUUGACCUUGGCAUGCUAAAAGAGCUGAACACCAGACUGGUGUUCAGUUUGUUCUACACUUCUACUUCCACUUGCAGAGCUUGUAGAACGCUACCCUCAUCAUGCUGAACUUCUCUCUGAACUCGGCUGAUGAUAAGUAGGACUGCAUUCGCCUGAUAACAGUAAGUGAAUUAAAAAGGUUGUCUCACGAAUGCGAAGUGGAAGAUUGGUUGCUCACCUCUCGCUUGGUCACGUUGAUGUCGGGGACAGGAACUUCAACUUUGAUUGUCAGGCAUUCAUAUGGGUAGAUCAUGCGCCCCUUCGUCAUCUUCCGUCUCAAUUUCGCCAACAUCGCCAUCACCUUUGGCAUCCUCCUCUUGUGGCCUUCUCUACAUCAGGGCUCGCUUCAUUUUGCAAAAAGUUCAGAAACAAGAAAGGUAAGGUACUGAAUAUUUGGUCUCUGUGUUCUAUCAGAUGUGGAAACCAAAGAGUUUUGUUCUAUGUACCUUUUACUGACUUUGGUAUUAAAGAGCUGGUGAGAGCACAAGAUAGAUGAUUUUUUGGGUGACACCUUACUGAUCAGGACCUCCAGAUUUUGGGAAAAGCUUUCCGACAGUAGGAGGAGGUUUGGAAAGAUUCCUGGUAUUACUUUGUUUUUGAAAACUGAUUCCUGGUAUUACUUAGGUUCUUAAAGGCACAAGUUAACACGUUGAGGGCUGGACACCUUCCUCGAACAUGGGACGGUCCCGACUGAUGAACAUGCUUCUCGUGCACUGAGAUUAAUGCAGGUGUUUGUUAUUUUGGUUUCUGAAAACACAGAGAUAGUCAGUGGUAUUUUUUUUAAAAAAGGCUUCCACUCAGAUGCUAUUUUUAGUCACCCUGUAGUCCUUUUACCAAACCUUAAUGGUCGGCAUGUGUUAGUGCUCAUUCAUGCGAAUGGUACAAUAGUUCUGAUUAAAAUGCUGAAACCUAAAUUUCAAUACUGGACUCAUUCGAAUGCUCACGGAAGGAUUUAAAGGUCCCAUGCAUGUAAGCAGAACGAAAUAAACACUGUAUGGUCAGCAUGUGUUAGUACUGCGACGUUUUGUCCCCUUUCUACUUUUUUUAGCUGCAGAGAUGAUGCACCUUCUCAAUCAUUUUUUAUCAAUUCCAUUUGUUCCUUUCGGCAUUGCAUGAAUUUGUUUGAAUUUGCUUGUCCGAGGAAGACAAGAGUACAAUUGGUUCGUUGGAUCGAGCGUCAAGAUCAUGGCGGUUCGUUGGACCGACCGUCAAGAUCAUGGCAGAUGCAUCCAUCCAUCCCUGACCUAGUCCCUGCACAUACACCUGCACAGGCUGCAGUAGCUAGCUACAACGGCGAAGCUAGUUCCAUCGGCAAAGUCCUUAUCUCGCCGGCGCGAGAUAGGGCCGGGUGGAAGCUGGGAGGCGCGGAGCUGAAGGAGAUCGUGCAACCCACAGCAGCCGCACGAAUCUUAAACACCACCGGAAGCUAGAUAGAUUUUCCGACAUGAACCGGGGUACGUGGAAACUAAAAAA